UAUAAUAAAAACAAAUUAUUACACAUUACAUUUAAUUUUGAUUACACAUCGAGUCUUCUGUAGCUUAUACGUAAGUUAAUACAAAGUACAUGCGAAGUACAUGCGAUAAAGGUUCGUGAAGUAUUAUAGAUGAUUACAUUUGUACUCCUAACUCUGCAUCCCCAUACAAUUUAAACUUAAUAAUAGUAAUUAAGAACUCAGGGACAGAAUAACAUCUCUUCUAUCGUCAUCGAUGCCUUUUGUCGACAUGAAAAUGAAGUUUACGUUGCAAUUAUAUCGCAACCUUAUCAUUCGACGGAAUUGAGGAAAAUUAAUUCCAACAUAUUGUAGCGUUCCCAGGAAAUAAGACAUACAUUUUCACGAAAGCGUUUAUUCUAAAACUGUCGUGAGUCUAAUUAUAAAACGUAGUGCAUGCGACAAUUAUACAACUAUAUAACUGCUCGCGGUUACAUUUGUCGAAAUUAUCAGAUCUAAUUAUUAGAUUCGACAGUAUAUAUCUGUGGACUCUUGAAAAAUCUUCUGAACAAAUAAAAAAAAUCACACAUAAUAAUAAAAUAAAAUUUAAAUUCUUCUUGAUAUAAUUAUGAUCUUUAAUAGAUCUCAACAAUCUCUAACUGAAAGAUGAUUGGCAGAAAUUAAGAGGAUUAUAUGUUAAUAAUAGCAAAGUAGAGAUCAGAGUUUAAACGAUGACUCAAGUAUCAAGUUAAAAAAAGCUACAGUUAUUAAAAACCAGAUGUUCACGGAGGUCACUUGGAAUCAUCAGGUGCACAUAUAUCAAGGAACGGGUUCAUCGCAAUAACGAUAUCUAUGCUGUAAAUAUGCCUGGAGAUCUAUUCUUUGUAAAGAGAUCAAUGUGAACAUUCAUCGCGUUUACGAACUAGACUGAAAAGCGAAUUAAGAAAAAAGUGAAACAGAAAUUUUGAUUAUGCAGUGCCAGUGCCAGUAUUUAAUAAUCAUUAAUUCAAAUUAAAGCUAUAAGAAUCUAAAUAACAUCUUUUAAACUUUACACGAUUUUCUAGAUUUUCACGAAACUUGCUAUUCAUAGUUACCUUACAAUGACAUGUAUCCGGUUACAAAGAAUUUUUCGCAUAAAUAAUUGAAUUUCGUUUAUGUUUGUGCUAAAUUGUAUUUGAUCCAUUUAUACAUUAUGUCAGUACAUUUCUUCAAUUGAUAAGAAUAAUCGUCAAGUAAUCAGAAUGAUGAUAGUGACCUGUAAUAUACAGUUUGAAUAUUUAUGUAUGUAGACUCAUUACUCUUUUACGAUUAUGUGUGUGCAUACGCAUGUGUUUGUGUGUGUGGUACAUAUAUCUCAAUCUCCUUGCAGGCUUAUAAAUAUUGAGAACAAAACAAAAUGAAAUUUGGUUGAAAGUACUAAAAACUUAGACGAUUCUAUCAUACAUUACUGUGCUAUCGCACAAACAAGAAGAAAUAAUAAAAAUGGAGCUUCAGGAAAAAUCACCUUUCACUCAGAAAAAUCCUAUUUACGAUAGUAUCCCUCUUAUUAUUAUUGAUAAGAUGGGAAAAGAAUGUUUCAAAGAUAAAACGGAAAAUAUAAAAUAUUAUGUUUCUAAUCCAUUUUGGAUGAAAUUUCGAUUAUUAUUAUUUUGGACAUUGUGGGCCAUAUUAAUAAUGGCGAUGAUAAUUUCUUUUUUCAUUUACUUUUGUUUUACGCCUCGAAUAUGCCUCAGUUCAAGUAUCCAUAGAAAUAUGCACAAAUAAUAAAUGCAUUCUUUCAUAAAGUGCAAUGGAACGGCGUAUUAUAAUAACUUGAAUUAUUAUAUAUUUGUAUCAUAUAUUCAUAUUUCAAAUAACAAUAUUGUCAAAAUUAUUAAUAAUGUAACGAGCAACAAGACAAUAAUGUAUUUAAAAUAAGUAUUAUUUUUAAAAAAUUAAUUGUUUAUUCUCAUUAUGCAUAUAUUGUUAUAAAUAUUAUAUAUAAAUAUAUAAAUAUUAUAGAUAUUAACAA